GUAAUAAGCAUUUUUCUGCUAUUUUGACACACAUAGUGAGUUUGUAUUGUAUAUUAUGCAAAUCUUAUGUGUGCUACGGCUAUAUAAUACUUCCUAUCUUGCUCAGCUAUGUCGUCUGAGCACAGCAAUACCCUCAUAUGUACCUUUGCCAGGUAUAUGCGGACAUUGAAGGGGCACAUUUGAGACACAGCCAUUUAAGUUUUUUCAAACUUUACAUUUUUACGAUGUGUC